GACACUUUGGCCGAGUGGUUAAGGCGCAAGCCUGCUAUUAACGCGCUGUGGCUGUUAUAGCAUCGAGAGCUUGUGGGUUCGCCCUCGUGAGUUCGAAUCUCACAGGUGUCG